rnacentral:rRNA from 1 species
GCCAGACUCCUACGGGAGGCAGCAGUGGGGAAUAUUGCACAAUGGGGGGAACCCUGACGCAGCGACGCCGCGUGGGUGAAGGAGCACCUCGGUGCGUAAAGCCCUAUCGGCAGGGAAGAAAGGCGAACAGGUUCGCCUGGACGGUACCUGACUAAGAAGCCCCGGCUAACUACGUGCCAGCAGCCGCGGUAAUACGUAGGGGGCAAGCGUUAUCCGGAUUGACUGGGUGUAAAGGGAGCGUAGACGGCGACGCAAGUCUGGAGUGAAAGGCCGGGGCCCAACCCCGGGACUGCUCUGGAAACUGCGUCGCUGGAGUACGGGAGGGGCAGGCGGAAUUCCUGGUGUAGCGGUGGAAUGCGUAGAUAUCAGGAGGAACACCGGCGGCGAAGGCGGCCUGCUGGGCGUUUACUGACGCUGAGGCUCGAAAGUGUGGGGAGCAAACAGGAUUAGAUACCCUUGUACAC